ensembl:miRNA predicted gene, 47282
CCGUGGGGGCCAGCGAGCUCCGGGACCUGUAUCUGAAAACUGAGAACUACCUCGGGGGAGAGUACUUUGCUCGUAUGGUCAAGGUGAGUGAGCCCUCAGCCUCUUCA